rnacentral:rRNA from 1 species
UGGGGAAUAUUGCACAAUGGGCGAAAGCCUGAUGCAGCGACGCCGCGUGAGGGAUGACGGCCUUCGGGUUGUAAACCUCUUUCAGCAGGGAAGAAGCGAAAGUGACGGUACCUGCAGAAGAAGCGCCGGCUAACUACGUGCCAGCAGCCGCGGUAAUACGUAGGGCGCAAGCGUUGUCCGGAAUUAUUGGGCGUAAAGAGCUCGUAGGCGGUUAGUCGCGUCUGCUGUGAAAACUCGAGGCUCAACCUCGGGCUUGCAGUGGGUACGGGCUGACUAGAGUGCGGUAGGGGUGACUGGAAUUCCUGGUGUAGCGGUGGAAUGCGCAGAUAUCAGGAGGAACACCGAUGGCGAAGGCAGGUCACUGGGCCGCAACUGACGCUGAGGAGCGAAAGCAUGGGGAGCGAACAGGAUUAGAUAGCCCUGGUAGUCCAUGCCGUAAACGUUGGGCACUAGGUGUGGGGUCCAUUCCACGGAUUCCGUGCCGC